ACGCAGGACUAGUGCGUGUGUGACGACCUGGUGUUCCUCGAAGACCCAAACGACCCUAGAGGCUGUAUAUACUUUCAGGCAUCCGUGCAUGUCCUGAGACACUCCACGGCCAUCUACCCAGGGUUCCAGUGCUCUGUGCAUGUCGGGAACGUGCGUCAGACGGCCAUUAUCGAGGGUAUAAUGUCUCCGAACAACGUGCUGAGGGCGGGCGAGGGGGCCUCCGUGCUGUUCAGGUUCGCCCGCUGUCCGGAGUACCUCAUGCGGGGCCGCCGGCUGCUGUUCACGGCGGGGCUGGG